CGGCCCACCUAGCCUACGACGGGUACGGGCCCUGAGAGGGGGAGCCCGGAGAUGGGCACUGAGACAAGGGUCUAGGCCCUAAGGGGCGCAGCAGGCGCGAAGAUUCCGCAAUGCCCGAAAGGGCGACGGAGUGAACCCGAGUGCCACCCGCUGAGGGUGGCUGUUCCCCUGUGUAAAAAGCAGGGGGCAGGAAGGGGAGGGCAAGGCUGGUGGCAGCCGCCGCGGUAAAACCAGCUCCCCGAGGGGUUCCCACGCAUACUGGGCCUAAAGCGUCCGUAGCCGGCCCUGUAAGUCUGCAGUUAAAUCCGCCUGUAGACAGGCGGGUUGCUGCAGAUACUGCAGGGCUAGGGAGCGGGAGGAGCCGGGGGUAUUCCCGGGGGAGCGGUAAAAUGCGUAGAUCCCGGGAGGACCACCAGUGGCGAAGGCGCCCGGCUUGAACGCGUCCGACGGUGAAGGACGAAAGCUGGGGGAGCAAACCGGAUUAGAUACCCGGGUAGUCCCAGCCGUAAACGAUGCCGGCUAGGUGCUGGCCAAGGUUUCGGCCUUGGCCAGUGUCGAAGCGAAGGCAUUAAGCCGGCCGCCUGAGGAGUACGGCCGCAAGGCUGAAACUUGAAGGAAUUGACGGGGGGGCACCACAAGGGGUGAAUGCCUGCGGCUUAAUCGGACUCAACGCCGGGAAUCUUACCGGGGGCGACAGCAGGAUGAAGGUCAGGCUGAAGACCUUACCAGACGCGCUGAGGGGUGGUGCAUGGCCGUCGCCAGCUCGUGCCGUGAGGUGUCCUGUUAAGUCAGGCAACGAGCGAGACCCCCGCCCCUAGUUGCCAGCGGCCUCCUUCGGGAGGGACCGGGCAAACUAGGGGGACCGCCUCCGAAGAGGAGGAGGAAGGUGGGGGCUACGGCAGGUCAGUAUGCCCCUAAUCCCCCGGGCCGCACGCGGGCUGCAAUGGGCGGGACAGCGGGAUGCGACCCCGAGAGGGGGAGCUAAUCCCUCAAACCCGCUCGUAGUUGGGAUCGAGGGCUGCAACUCGCCCUCGUGAACCCGGAAUCCCUAGUAACCGCGGUUCUCCAUACCGCGGUGAAUACGUCCCUGCCCCUUGUACACACCGCCCGUCAACUCACCCGAGUGGAGCUGGGGCAAGGUUCCAGCUCCAAAAGAGCUGGAAUCGAGCCUUGGCUCCGCGAGGGGGGGUAAGUCGUAACAAGGUAGC
rnacentral:rRNA from 1 species